GACGAACGCUGGCGGCGUGCUUAACACAUGCAAGUCGAACGGAAAGGCCCUGCUUUUGUAGGGUGCUCGAGUGGCGAACGGGUGAGUAACACGUGAGUAACCUGCCCUUGACUUUGGGAUAACUUCAGGAAACUGGGGCUAAUACCGGAUAGGAGCUCCUGCUGCAUGGUGGGGGUUGGAAAGUUUCGGCGGUUGGGGAUGGACUCGCGGCUUAUCGGCUUGUUGGUGGGGUAGUGGCUUACCAAGGCUUUGACGGGUAGCCGGCCUGAGAGGGUGACCGGCCACAUUGGGACUGAGAUACGGCCCAGACUCCUACGGGAGGCAGCAGUGGGGAAUAUUGCACAAUGGGCGGAAGCCUGAUGCAGCAACGCCGCGUGCGGGAUGACGGCCUUCGGGUUGUAAACCGCUUUCGCCUGUGACGAAGCGUGAGUGACGGUAAUGGGUAAAGAAGCACCGGCUAACUACGG
rnacentral:rRNA from 1 species